UUUUUAACAGUCGCUUACAACUCACGUGAUCAUACAGUGAAAUUAGCAUGAAAAGCAGCUAUAAACAUUAUUUCAUUACUUCUUUGCUGUUAUCAGGAUGAGAACUAUGGAGGAGACAACAGGAGAAAUAACACUCCCUGCCUGCACCUGGAAAUCACAGUUGUGCAUACUUUUUGGUAUCUUCAAGGCCGCGGUGAGCGAAGCAGUUGCAAAGGAGCUACAAAGAAGAAACACUUUCCCUUAUCUGUUCUACUGUACAGAGCCAGCAAUUCUCCACAAAGCGGUUAUGUCAUCUUAUAACUCAAAUGAUCAAAGUUCAAGGCAUUUAUUUUUUCUGAUUCCACAGGCCUGACAGACGUUUGCCAAGAAAAUGCUACCGCAGUGAUAGUUCUGAAGAGGGGAAGAUUAAGGAGAGUAGCCCCCUAACCUGAGUGUCUCCUGAGAUGUUUAAUGGUCAGAUGCCCAGAGCAAAUGCUGAGGAUUCUGGAGAAGAGGGGUGCCUCAUAUUGGAUGCUGGGGGAGAAGAUGUCUCUGGGGGGACAGAGCCACUGGUGAGUGUCUUGAACUUGGAGAGAAGUGUGUGUGUGUGUGCGCGCGCGCGCGGGGGAGGGGGGGGUCUUAGGGGUACUGGUGGCAGGGAGGGGCAGGAAUUUACUAUGAACUCCUUAAACAGUGGGUGACCAUAGUUUUUCCUUAAAAAUUCCUCUGCAGCUUGAUGAAGCCUUUCUCAUGACACCAGAAAGGUAGCACAGCAGCAGCCCAAUAAGCCCAGUAUUUGGAAAGAGAAGCUGCUUUUGUGACAAUUGGAGGCCUGGUGCUUCAGAAGAAGAGGGUGCUGUGGCCUUUAGAAGACAACUAGGAAUUGAACAAACAGGACCUGUCUGUGGGGUCGUAAAAGGCUCAUGAGAUCUCUUGUACGUGUUUGUUAUGGCAUACUGAAAUAUUGUUCGAGAGAGAGAGACUUUUUGAAGCAUUCAGGGGCUGCCUUCUAAAUGCACCAAGUCAAGGAAACCAUGACUGUAUAGACAGGACAGAUGAGGAUAUAAACCAGACAAUUCAGGAACUUUGUACUGAACUGUGUAUGGAGAGUAUUCUAAAUGCUAUAACUGCAUUAGGGUACUCUAGGGAUUGUCUAUGCCUCACUGAGAAACAUUUAGCUCAGGGUGUGGCAAUUACAAACCAUAUUCAUCUGGCUGGAGACCCACAUGCUGCUUUACAUGGUGUCCUUCAUGAGGAGGGUAAAUCUCUGGUACCCUACACUGAACGUUUAAUUGGAACAAGAAAUUAUAAAUUCCUGCUCCAGGGAAAAGUGUAGCCAUGAUAUAGUAUAAAACUAGCAAAAGCUGUAAAUUUUGUACAGAGGCUGAUGAAAAUAUAACUUAUUAGAAACACAUUCUCACAGAUGUCAUUCUUUAAAAGGGAGGGCAUAGAGGGGUGUUGGGGAUAUAAAGGGUCACAGCUAAGGAUAUGUUGGAACAGGCCCCAAGAAAAUUCUGUGGAGCAAUACAGGACAGCUGUAACUUGAUGGCAGCAACAAGGUAUUGUCUUCACACCUAAGAACCUUACAAAAGACUGGCAGGGUGUAUACAUCCAAAAGUCAAGGAGUUUGAAUCUAUCAGUUGCUGCUUUCACACCUAAGAAUCUUACAAAGGGGACUUUGGUACGCACCCUACCAAAAUCAAAUGGGGUUUGAAUCCAUCACAAUGGGCCUACAGGGAUGAAUCAAAGGGCGGGAUGCAAAAACCAGGGCCAGCCUCCACCACAAGGGGUGUCUACAGGGAUGAAUUAAAGACCACCAUGCAAAAUCCAGGGCAGUCCCUGAUAAUGACCUGCCAAUCCGUGAGAGAAGCCUCAUAAAUAUUAAAAUUAGAAGUCACCAGGAUAUCACCCUGAGAAGGGCAGAAAACACCCCUUUUCUCAGGACUGUGCAACUGUUCCAGGACAGGAUCUAGGGAUGUACUCAUAUGUUUUAUAUAUCUUUAUUUGUUUUUAUGCCGUCUUUACAUCUUUGUUUGGUAUUCAUUACAGGGAGACUAUCUACUGAAUUAAAGGCCCAGACACCAGGUUCUAUGUAUGUAGUCAUAGGUUUUUAUAUAAUUUUUAUAAACUUUUCUUUACUUCUUUACUUACUGCUUCUUGGAGUCCUUAUUACAGCAGAGCAGCCAAACUUUUAGACCAGAGGGGGCAAACCAGGACAGGGGUAUGUAACCUUUUUUUAACUCUAUGCAUAUAGAUAUCUUUUCCAUUUCAUUAUAGUAUCUUUUACUUUCUGCUGUAAUGAAGACCCCAAGAAACAGUAACACCCCAACUUUACACCAGAAAAACCUCAGAAGGGUUAGACCAAGACAGGGGCGAAAACCCUUCUUGAAGAAUGGAAAACCAGAGCAAGCAUGUCCCAUCAUGUCUUUACCCUGUAGUAAAAGCAAUCUCACACAAGACCGCCAAAGAGAGAGAAUGUUCCAGAAACACCAGGGGAACACGAUUCAGCUUGAAGGCCUCUAGCACCACUCACUGAAAACCACAGUAACACGCACCCUGAGGAUCAGAAACUCCGUGAACAAGACCCCCCCCAAAACCAAAGCAGAAGGACACGGUUAAAAAAAAAAAGACUGCAUGGUUUCUCAGAGGAAAACACAUCACCAAACCCUAAGAAAGCAACGUGUGAAAACACAAACAUUCACAGUUCCAGAGCUGCUGUUUUGGGGUCUGUGAAUAAGAAAACACAAGAUUGAUUACUCGCACACUUUAGAGAAACCUGAGGAGGUUCUUCCCAUGUGUUUGAAGGAACAUGAUUAUUUUUCAAGUGAAAAGAGGGGAUUUUGGAGGGUUGCUGGCACCCAUACAGCCUUGAAAGAUCAUGAUUAUUGUGCAACCAAAAGGGCAGAUGUUGUACAGAGGGGAGGUGGUCUGUAUGAUCCUGACACUAGGCAUGGUAUGCAUUGUAAGACGGGGAGGCCUUGAUAAACCUGAGAACAAGUGGCUUGCGGGGCAAAAAGUAAGGGCCUAUUUAAAGGUGAGGGUGGAAAAGGCUAAGUGCCUAUUGAGAAAGAAUAAGAGAACCCUAAAUACCCUAAACCUCCACAAGCCUGUGCAGCCAGAGACCAGGCCUGGCAAAUGUGAUGUUAAAGACCUUCUAGAGAGGCCCUCAAAAACCUCAACUCCUCCCGGGUCUGUGGAAUCAGAAAGUGAAAAUGGUGAAAAUGAUUAGAAGAUGCCUCAGAGGGUCCCUUGAAUGUAGACCCUCCUGAGCCAGUGGAGGAUGUUGUGCCAGAUGUAGAAAUGGUAUGGGUGAAAAGGCAGGAGUGGCCUAUAGCUAGGUUUGGAGCCCAGAGAUGUAUAGAGGAGUUUCGUUUUAGGAAUCUGGAACUUGUAUCAGUACAUGUGGCUUUUGAAGCCAUAAGAAGGGGGGUAGAAUGAACUGUAGAAAAUUUCCACCAUUUAUUCAUGCCUGCUGAUUAUGCCCAGCUCCAUAUUGAAGCAAACUGUAUGCACAACUGUUUAUAUUCCCCAGCUAUUAAUUUAAAUGACACGUCCACUGACCUGUUUUUAGAGUGAAUCAGCAAGCUCUUACAAAGUCAUAGAGAAAUACUCUUUGAUUCAACAUUUCAGUUGACUUGUGGUAGUUGUAAGGGGUGUGGGCAGCGGUGCCCGGAGAGUAAUAAGUUUUAUCCACUAUUCCCAAAUUAUUGCCAAAAAGAGACUGUAUUUAAUUGAUCUGAACACCUUUGAUACUAAGGUCUGUUUUGCUGGUAGUCUUGCUCUGACCACUCUUAGAAGAGCCACAGAUGCAGAGCUGCUACAUGGUGCAAACCAACUGCAUGAGAAGUUGGGGUGGUAAGCACAAAAACAGGUUAUGUUGAAGGAUGUAGCAUUGUUUGAAGAUCUUGUAAAGGUUAACAUCCAUAUAGUUAUGCGUAAGGAAAAAACAGGGUGGAGUUUCUUUAAAACACACAGCAUGCCUCAGUAUCCAAACACCUGUUUCCUUAUGUUGCUUGAUGGACAUUAUUAUGGUGUUCUGGAUGUGAAAAAGAUUUUUGGGGUGAGAAGUUAUUGUGAUCUUUGUCAGCCACUCCUGCAGGUUCUGGUGCCACCUUUGUCUGACCCCAGACUGCGCAGAUAAUGUGGGCGAGGCACAGAGGUGUCCUAACUGUGAACUGGUCUGUCGGUCCUUAGGGUGCUUAGAGAGAGAGACAGUUCUGGCUUCUGAGAACAAAGCUGACUGCUUGUCUAAAACUUUGUGCUAUGAAUGUAAAUCUUAUGUGGACAAAAAACCACGAAUGCAAAGGGAGGCAAUGCAAAUAGUGCUAUGGGCAGAUCAAGGAUGUAGACAAGCACCAGUGCUUCAUGCCCCAGAUUACUAAACCUGAAAUAGGGGAGAGUUACAUUUUUUAUUAUUUUGAAUGUAUGCAGGAGACUGGGAUGCAUGUACUGAAUUACAUUUUUGUGAUUAGUUAGCUCUAGAAACCCCUUGGGAGGAUAAGACUCAAGAGACAAAACAGACUUGGGAAUUUAAGGGUGAAGAAUGUCUGUCAGACUUUAUUAAGGUCUUUAUCGAUAAAAAGUAUCAGGGCUACACCUUCAUAGCUCACAAUGCCAAGCGCUAUGAUGGCUACUUCAUUUUUUUGCCAACUAUUAAAAGAAAAAAUGGCCGUGAAUCUCAUCACCCAGGGAGAUAAACUUAUAUGGACAGAAGUCACCAGCCUGCAUAUCCGUUUCAUAGAUUCUUUAAACUUUCUACUUAUGAAACUUAGCAAACUCCCCCAAGCCAUGGGUUUUGAAGAAUGCAAAGGACAUUUCCCACAUUUUUUUUAACACGUGGGAAAAUCAGAAUUAUGUGGGGCCUCUCCCUGAAGCAGAGUACUAUGGGGUUGAAAGCAUGAUGCCUAGCAAGAGACAGCAAUUUAUAGAAUGGUACUGGGACAACAGUGAUAAGACCUUUGAUAUACAAAAAGAGCUGGCCUAUUAUUGUUAGGGGAUGUAAAAAUUUUAAAGGAGGCCUGUUAUCUCUAUAGGAAUGAGAUUAUGAAAAUGACUUGGUGGGUAGAAAUGGUGAAAAAGGAGGGUGAACUUGAACAUGUAAAUCUCUGCAUAGACCCUUUCCAUUAUCUCACGCUGGCUUGUGUGUGCAUGGGCAUGUACAGAUUUAUGUUUUUGAAAGACCAGACCAUUGCACUACUUCCCCCAGACGACUACCACAGACAAAGAUUUUCGAUCCCCACUAUCCAGUGGCUCAUGUAUCUUUCUGAAAAGGAAAAUAUUCAAAUUCAGCAUGCCUUACAGGGCAGGGAAUUUCAGGUGGGGGGCUAUUUUUUAGAUGGUUAUGCCAAUAUUGAUGGGAAACCCACAGCCUUUGAAUUUAAUGGUUGUUUUUUCCACAGUUGUGUCACCUGCUACAAUGAAAAUGACUGGAACCCUUUGACAGGGACAACCUAUGGGUUUCUGAAUUAUCAGAUGCAGCACAAGGCCGAUUAUCUUAGGAGAGUGGGGUUUACCAUCAGGAACAUUUGGGAGCAUGAGUGGAGGAUUUUGUUAGAAUCCAAUGGGGAGCUCUCCGAUUUCUUAAGCAGAGCCCAGCUGCCUUCUUCUCUGACACCUAGAGAUGCUCUCUUUGUAGGGGAGGACUAAUACUGGUUGUAUUACAAAGCUAACCCAGGUGAGCAAAUUCACUGUUAUGAUUUUACUAGUCUCUACCCCUUCAUCAACAAAACAAAGGAAUACCCUAUUGGGAACCCCAAAAUCAUUCACGACAAUUUCAGCCCCCUGUCAAGCUAUUUUGGUUUGGCCAAGGUGAAAUUGUACCUGCCAUGUGGGCUCUCCCCCCAUGCUACCUGUCAGGGUGAAUGGGAAACUCAUGUUCCUGCUGUGCUGCACCUGUGCAGAAACAAACCAGGCAAAGUGCACUCUCACUGAUGAGAAAAGGGCCCUUCUGGGCACCUGGUACACACCUGAAUUUAACAAAGGUAUCACAAAGGGGUACAAAGUAGCUAAAAUCUAUGUGGUCUGGCAUUUUCCUGAGGUGAGUAACACACUUUUUGAGAAGUACAUGGCACUAGACCUCCGACAAACAGGAAGCCUCGGGGUAUCCCACCUGGUGUACUGACAAAGAAAAGCAAGACCAAUAUGUGGCCAAUUUCUUGCAAAAAGAAGGUGCAUCUUUAUGACCUAAGCAUAUUAAACCAAACCCUGCAAAAUGUCUAAUUGCAAAAUUAUUUCUAAAUUCUUUGUGGGGUAAAUUUGGCCAGAAAACAAAAUCUCCCAAACACCAGUAUUGAGAUCUCUUUGGCUUUCUCUUUUCUCCCACCUAUGACAUUUCCUCCUGUGACUAUCAAUGAUGAGAUUGCCUGCAUAUCUUAGAAGCACACCAAAGAGUGUUAAAUGCUCUCAGGCAACACUAAUAUCUUUAUAGUGUGUUUCACCAUAAUAUAUGACUGCUUAGAGCUGUUAGACAGCCUGCAAGACUGGUGCCUGUACCAUGACACAGACUGAUAUUUGUGAGCCAUGAGAGAAACUGGAACCUCCCGCUAGGUGAUUAGUUAGGCGAGCUCACAAGUGAGCUCCCCCGAGAUGAACACAUUCAGAGUUUGUGUCAGCAGGCCCAAAACCCUACAGGUAUACACUGUCAAGAGAAAAGCUCUGCUUAAAAAGGGUUACCUUGAAUGUGUCUACCUGUGAAAAAGUCUAUUUUGAGAAAUCUCAUUUUUUAUUAUGGAGCAAACCUUGUCAGAGACACCCCUAAAACAACUGCAGAACAGCAGAGCUCUAUUGUCAAGAACAAACGGCAGUGGACAAUCGAAACCAAGACAAUUAAGAAAAUACAGAAAGUAGUUUAUGACAAAAGGGUCCUCACAGAAACCUUUAAGUCCCCCCACGGUUUUUUAACAUGGAUAUGCGUUGGAAGCACCCCGUUUCAGUGAUUCUUGCAGGGCCUAGCAACUGUAGUAAAAGUUACUUUAUAAAAAAAACAAACAAACAAAAAAAAACUUUCUUAAUAAUGCUGGUAGAUUGUCGUUUGUUAUGCCUGAGACUAUCAUGUGGCACUCUAGCUGUUGGCAAACUUUGUAUAAAGAACUUCUUUGUAACAAAUUCCUUUUAUCAAAGUUGUGGAGGGACUGCCACUUGUUUCCUCCAAAUAAAGUAAAUAUGGUUGUGGUGGAUGACUUGAUGGACUCUGCUUGUGAGAGUGGUGAAACAGAAGGCCUUUACCAAGUAUGUGCAUCACAGGAUCUUAGCAUUAUGUACGUAGUUCAGAAUGUUUUGUCAGGGGGAAAAGAGUUGCACUGUUACCCUCAACACAAAAUACAUAGUUCUGUUUAAAAAUCCAAGGGAUAAGCUAGAGGUGGUAUCCCUGGCAAGCCAGAUGUGUCCAGGCAAGGCUCAGUUCCUUUCUAGAAGCUUUUGAGGAUGCCACUAAAAAGCCUUAUGGGUAUCUGGUGAUAGACUUAAACACUUCUACCCUGGAGACUUUGAUUGGGGGGAAAAGCCCAGUUCUUAAAAUCAGCCAGCAAUUUACACGGUGGAAAUAAAGAGAUGAUGUAGCAGCAGGCUCUUUUUUAGCUCCUGAACCUACAGAAGGGAAACAUGUCUAAUUGCGUAAAGAGAAAUUUGGCUCUCAAAAAUGCUUAUUCAAUUCUCCCCACUGCAGAGGAAAGCUAGACUUUGCUUGGCCUCUGAUGAUGUGGUAGUGGCCAUUUCAGAAAUUGUUUUGAACACCUUAAGUGGAAAAAUCCCUUUGACACCCCACCAAAUCCAUGUGCUGAAAGAGAUGCAGAAUCAUAAAAAAAGAAAGUAAAAAAAAAAAAAAAGAAGGCUCUUGUUAAAUACAAACACAGCUGGUGAAAGCAUCUAGGGGAUUUAAUUGGACCCCUGUUAUGUUUCGUUAUCCCUCUGAUCUUGGGACUUUUAACUGAGCACUGAUGGAGCAUGUGGGGAAAAAUGUACCUGGUGCCUAGGCACCACCUGGAGUGAUUAAGGCCCCCCCCCGCUGCAAAAUAUCAGAACUGAUUGGAUGCUAAAAAGAAGGACAUUCUCUGAAACCAGGGUUUAGCUGAAUACAAUAAAACUAAACUAUAUGCCACCAUACUUCAAAAAUACCUGAUGCAUGUGAAGCAGAGUGACUUGGAUAGACAGAAAAUAACCCUAUUUAUGCCAGAACAGAACCCCCUAGAAAUGGCAAAACCCUUAGAAACACCAACAAAACCUGACCCCACCAUUUCAGGCAGUGUUGGAUAACAUGCACCUCCAAUACAGGAAAAAUACUAAAGUGUUGCUCAGCAUAAGCAUAUUUCUUCUUGGGAUGACCAAGAAGAUAUUGUAUACAAACGAAUGCUCAUCAAGGGUUCCAACAUGCUCAGCUUAGUCUGGGGGACCCUUCAGAGACUCACACCGCUUCUAGUAAACAUCCACCUAAAGGUUGGGACAUCUUUAUGAAAGCAAUGCCUGAGCUUAACGUACCAUCUUCCAUUAUGUGCAAUGCUGCAAAUCGGGAUCAUUUGGAACACCUGAAAGCAUGUGCCACAGACCAAGAAGCCUCAGCGCCAAAGAAGCUUUU